UAUAAUGUUUUGAAUCUUCGUCUUAUUUGAAAUUUUUUUGCGAUUAAUAUUUUUGUUCUUACUAGAUGAUAAAAUAUGAAUAGUACUUUAUGCAUGACUAAUUUUUUUAAGUUUGUUACAAAUUUUUCAAAUAAGAUGAAUGGUCAAACAUUGAGCACGGAAAAAC
rnacentral:pre_miRNA from 1 species